rnacentral:rRNA from 1 species
CAGUAGCCACGGUAAUACGAAGGGUGCAAGCGUUAAUCGGAAUUACUGGGCGUAAAGCGUGCGUAGGCGGUGAGUUAAGUCUGCUGUGAAAUCCCCGGGCUCAACCUGGGAAUGGCAGUGGAUACUGGCUCGCUAGAGUGUGUCAGAGGAUGGUGGAAUACCCGGUGUAGCGGUGAAAUGCGUAGAGAUCGGGAGGAACAUCAGUGGCGAAGGCGGCCAUCUGGGACAACACUGACGCUGAGGCACGAAAGCGUGGGGAGCAAACAGGAUUAGAUACCCCUGUAGUCCCUGUCUCUUAUAC